rnacentral:misc_RNA from 1 species
GCGAGUAUGGCCGCCUCACGGGUCUAAUCCACUACCACAAACCACCUUUGUGAACCAGUCAGGGGGACUCGGCCGUGAAAGCCCAGGCGAUUAGCGGAAGGGCGCCCUCCUUUGCAAACCCGUUGUAGAAGUCUUGAAAAGUACAUUUUGUAUAAUCUAGUA